rfam:Desulfofustis glycolicus DSM 9705 genome assembly, contig: EJ46DRAFT_scaffold00079.79
CAAGUCCCUGUCGGGCAAGGGUUAGCCACCCACCCGUAUCGAGUGUUGCGCCUGUGGCGGAGCGCCUGCGUGGAUGCAAGUCUGCAAAGGGCCGCGAACAAAACAGGUGAAGCGUACACAGAGAAGGUUAUAGGCCAUAGGGGAGGCCGCACUCCCUGAAUUGCUGGUACAGCCCCGAAAUCGAGUAUUGUUGCAGUCGACGAGCGUUUUAACGGCCGCGAAGUCAACAGGAAACGACCGCAAACGGCAAGGUCGUGGAAGGCUGCCCGGGUCCUCAGGCU